GGUGGGGGGGGAGAUGGGCAGUUCUUAACAGUUAGUGAACAUUGUCGCUUCAUUAUCCCAUGUCCCUUUUUAGCACUAGAGAAGGUUCAGCGUGUCCUUCACCCCUUUUUCAAUACACCAGGUGGAUGGCCCAAAGUAGUGGGGCAGGGGAGAGAGUCCCCCUUCCUACUGUUUUUGGCUAUGACAGGUGGAGGCAAAAUGGUGGAAGGGAUGCUGUCCCCUCUACCAUAUACCUGCUCCCAUGAUAAACAAAACCCAUUUGUUUACAUCCUCAUUUGUGCACAAAAAGGUACAGUACAGUCCCCUCUGCACAAACAAAACACCUGAGAAGGAAAAGCAACUUUCAGAAAGGCAGCCUCUCAGUCCAUAUGCAUUGACAAUGAUUGGAAAAGGGCCUUUGAAUUGGGAAGGAAAAUGGCAGAAAGAAAUAUUAGCAUGCCAAACCAUAGGGUUGAUACUAUGGCCACGUUCAUGCAGCACAGCACAUCUACUGUAUGGAGUCGAGAAGUGAAUUGAGAGUCUUUUAUAAUGUUAGGUACUAUGAGCACAUAUCAGUUCUAUUACAUCUGGCUAGACACAUUAUUUGUUUUUUUGGCAAUUUCUUUAGGGAAAUUGUAGAAAAAGUGAUGGGAUUCAAGACUUGGGCAGAAACUGCACUGGUUGCCCCUGGGGGAUGACAAUCUCAGGACCUGCUUGGAGACAUGCAUCCUUCUUGGUUCAUUUACAUUUCUAGGGGGCCUUUAUUAUUAAGCAAAGUAUCCUGGGCUGCUUUCAAGGGUUUGAAGUUGAGAGCAAGUAAUGAUUCUGCUACUUCCUGAGUGGAUGGUCCAGUUGAUGGAAAUAAGGUUGAAGUAAUCUAGUGGCUGCUCACUUGAGUACAUGAAGCUGCUGAGGUGAGGUCAUCCAUCCAUUUGGAAUGUAGAAUCACUGAUAUACUGAUGAUAACCAGUUGCAAAUCCCCUGGAUGUGCCAGGUGAAACUCCUGAGCUAGUACUUGUAGUUAGGCUCUAAAUGAACAACCUGAGAUUGAAUCCUAUGUCCAAAAAAGCAUUUCUCACUACACACAGCAGUGGAACCAGAAUAGUACAUGUACCAAUAUCUUCUAUGAUAAUCAGCCCAGAACUGUAUCAGAGGAAAGAUGGAUAGAAACUGGGCCAGACUGGCUGAUUUAACAGUAUUUUUGUACCACUGACUCCAUAUGAAUUCUUGACAAUGUACAAACAGCUGCAAUUAUCAUCCAUGCAAUUAGUAGUCAGGAGGCCCAGAGUCACCUUACACCAAACUAGAGAUGGAAGGAUUCUAGCCUCUGACCAAGCUGUCAGCAACACAUCCUCAGAGACAUUAUCAAUUGUUCAUACAGCAAUGUUUAUAUUGGAAGAAGAGGGCCAUUAUAAUAUCACUUUAACAGCAGAGUAACUAAAGGCAACUUCAAUUGUCCCCAGUUGGCUACAGACAAAAUUCAGGUGAUGUCAUGAGAAUUGUUUUUUAAAAGUGGUAACAGUAAUUAGUGAGGGUCUUCAUGCUAUUUUCAAACAAUAUGGAUACAAUCUGGCAAAUUUUGUAGCCUAUCAAAAUCUGCUCCUUUUUCCUCACACCAGCUUCAACAGACACACCCCUCCCCAAUAAACAAAUAAAUAAAUCAAUAAAAUCCCAAGCAAAUUCAGUUUCGCCUACAUCAUAUCAUAUGUAUUAAGAAUUCAAAUCAAAUUUUAAUAUAGUUCCUUCCAGAUCCCAGUUUUGAGAUAAAACAAUUUCUUAGAAGGAUUAUAUGCAAGAUUAGUAUUUUUAAAAAUCUAUUUAGAGCUAGAAGAUUAAAUUUUUAUUCCUGACAGAUUUUUACAAAUAGAGCAAAAUAAUUAUUCUCAGCAGCUUCAUUUGUAAUAGUGUAUAUGAGGAUUGCUUAAAAAUCUAAAUUCACCAUACUUUGUCCCAGCUACAAAUAUGAACAUUUUGGUUUGAAAAGGCAUAUAGUAUAUAAAUUAUUUUGAAAACUAGGAUAACUAAAUUCUCAUCCUGUAGUUGGUUUGCCCUCAAUGUUCAAAAUGUCUUUUUUUGCAAGUACUAUCUCCAGAAUACAAGGAACAUCAAAGAGACAAAGGUGAGUAACCAACCAUAUUGUUUUUGUAGGUACCUGUAGUAGAAGUGGGGACAGAACGGCAGUCUUUCCUCUGUACCCAGAGGGGAAAAAAACCCUUCCUUCAGAACUACUGUCUUUGGGAGAGGCUCCCUUUAAGUUAAUGGGAAUCAGAUGCAAAAAGAUCUGUUUCCCUAUGCUAAUUACACACAAGAUUACAUUUUAAAUGCACUGUGCCAUUUUUAACGACCAGUCUUAAAUUGCUGUAUCAUUGGUGGCUUAAUAUGUAAUGUCAUGAAUAUUGUGUAAUAGCACAAGUGUUUUUCCAUAAAAAUACAGAACAAGGAGAUGUAAUAAGAGAAAAACACCAAAAGAUAGCCGAGAAAAAUGCCAUGUUGGAAGAAGAAAACAAAUUCUUAGGCAGAAAAGUUGCAAGCCUUGAGGAGGAAAACAAACCCUUGAAAAAGAAAUUUAGAGGAAGUCAAGGAUGGAUUAGGAGAUGCUGACAGCAAUGAUAGAAGACAAGAAAGGGAGUACAAUUAUGUUUGAAUUAUGAUAUCUCAAUUUCAAAGACACCUGUACUCUUUUUUUGGGACUCCCUCUGCCUCCUGCCAAGAAGAUCAGCAGACAUGAAGUUCAAAUUACACACUAUAGGCAGUAUCUCCAUUUUCAAUCCAAUCAGAAACAUAUCUACCAACCAAUCAAUUGAAGAGACUGCAGUGAAUCAGUCAAUACUUGACAAGGAAGACAGUGCACUUCUGGGUGCAAAUAUGGGAUAACCCAGCGAAAUACAACAAGGACACAGCUUGGUUAAAGGAGGUGAAUAAGAAUUUAAAAAAACUGAAAUGAGAGAACAUAUAGUAACAACAGAAAUGGUAGACAAAAGAGCAAGUAAGAUUGAGAAUUGGUCAGCACCAAGUAAAGAUGAACUACAUGUUUUUUGGUUGAAACAUCUGACUGGUCUAACACUCGCUGGUUGCCAAGCAGUUCAACAGCAUACUGCAAGGGAGUGAAAUUGAAAAGUGGCUAACAUCUGGCAAAAUCUACCUGAUAAUGAAAUAUCCAGUAAAAGGGGCAGCACCAGGGAACUACAGACCUGCUUAUGGCAACUCAAUAGCUUAAAGCUAUUAAAAGAUCUGCUUUCUGUACUCCUACAGUUCUGGCCCUAGCACUAUGUGAAGGGGUGGGCUUCCAUUACUCCCCUCAGCUUCUGCCAACCUAGCAGUUCAAAAACAUGGAAAAUGCAAGUAAAUCGGGUGGGAUUCUACUCGUUCGGACCAGUUCAAGCGAACCAGUAGCUCUGACAAUCAGCUGGGAGCGAAUCGGUUCACUCUGAUGAUCAGGCCGGCCCUCCCACCUGCCCCUACACUUUACUUACUUUUAUAUUCUCUGCUGAUUGGCACGGCAGAGCGGAUUGCCACACCUCAGCUGUGUUACUCCCAAAUGAUAACACAGGUGGUUAGUAUUUGUAAAAUUGUGUACGCAUGCGCAAAGUGUGCGAUCACCGAACUGGUUGUUAAACCGGCAGCAAUCCAUCACUUAUUUACUUAGUAAAUAAUAAAUUUAAACUAUUAUUAUUUUAAACUUAGUAAAUAAUUAGUAAAUAAUAAAUGACUUAUUUACUUAGUAAAUAGAUAGUACUCUGGUAGGAAGCUAAUGGCGCUUCAUGUGACAGCAAGAAGCUAACGAUUGCCAGACCUGCCUGAAUGCAAAGCGAAAUCAUUGGAGAAAAAGUCCGGGAUGACGCCAACGUUCCCACAGAAUAAUGUUAGUCACUCUGUAUGGAGCUAGUUCGGCCACUGCAUGGCACCUUGGAUAGCGCGCGGGCAUGAAUUAAACAAACUAACAAUAACAUUGUAGACUCCCUGGUACUCAAUGUACAAAUGUUGUAAGCUAAAUAAAUAAAAAGCCUGCUUGCCAACAACUUUCAAAUUACUAAAUGGUGUGGUAGCUGAUUCAAUCCAACACUAUCUACUUGAAAACAAACUCUUUCCACCUAAACAGAAAGAAAAUUGCCCUACGGCAUUAGAUACAGAAAUGGAAUAAUGGACUGCUUCAAGCAGAACUAAAGGCCAUGUAUAGGAAGACCAGAAAAAUAAUGACAUGAAUCACGUCCUUCAUUAUUAUAGUGACAUUGACAGACUCUAUUUACCAAGGAAAAUAAAUGGGUGUAAAAUGUUAUAAGUACAUCAAAUGGUUGAAGAAAAAAGAGCAUUGGAAGAAAAUCUGAAGGACUAAAGAUCCACUGAAAGAGUAAAGAUCCUAGUAUACAAGGAAGACUUAUUGAGUACUUAAUCGAGACCAAAUUGGGCUACAAAAAUGAACAUAAAGAACAGAAAUGAAACAUGGGAAGACAAAGAAGUGCAUGGUCAGCACAUUUAAAAUAGCAGGCAAAGCAGAUAAUUACAAGGGUCUGGCAAUGGCUAAGAGCAGGAAAGUUGAAGAAAGAGAUUUGGGGCUAAUUCUGGCUGCACAAGACUAAGCCUUAAGAACAAAUGCAUACAUAGCCAGAAUUCAGAAUACAGCAACGGACAGCAAAUGCUGCAAGAAGAUUGCACAAACUGACUACAAACAAUGGCUUGACAAAAGUAGCAACAAAGGUGCAUUGCAAGAGCUGAAAGAAAUACAAUUUGUCUGCAGCAAGAACAGGUGGGACCAUAAAAUGUAGAAGCUGAAGUGCUCUGGGACUCAGAAUUCAAACAGACAGGCAGGCAUCUGCCAUAUAACAAGCCAACUGUCGAUAAGAAAGACAAAAGAAGUCUGAAUAGUGGCAGUACCUGGAGACAGUAGAAGACAACAAAAUACAAAGACCCACAAAUAGAAAUAGAAUGACUAUAGUAAAAGAAAGCAAAAGUAGUACUAACAGUAAUAGUCCCGUUGGGUGCAAUUGCAAAACAACUGGAGCAUCACCUGGACACCAUCGGCAUUGACCAAAUCUCCAUCAACCGAUUGCAAAAGGCUGCUUUUACUCACAAUAGCUUACAUCCUGUGACAAUACUUCUAAAACCAUCAAACAUUAACUUCUGCCUAUCUCAUGUCUCUUGUGAAGGACUCAAUAGAUGGAUGAAAAUGCCAAAUCCAGUCUGAACAUCUGGCUUAUUCCUUUCUCCAGGACAGUAUAUGAAAUUAGCUUCUUCUGAUAACUGAUACUCCUGGUUUGCUACCCAAACAUCAAAAUUAGAAGACAUGUCAGAUCACAGAACUCUUGAAAUAAAAACUUAUCUAAACAUUCUGCGGGGGGUGGGGGGGGAGACUAACGGAGCUCUUUCCACAAUACUCAAUAGGGAUCAAAAUGAUGGGGGAUUCUUUCCUUGUUCAGUUUUUACAAAAAAAACCCAGCAACUUUGCCAAAAGAAAGCAAUGAGUGGGAGUAUCGCUACUGGUCUAUGGUCAAAACACCAAAAUUAGCAGGGACAUCUGACUUGCAGACCUCUUGAAAUAAAAUGAAAUGCACAAAGAA